rnacentral:rRNA from 1 species
AUUGAACGCUGGCGGCAGGCCUAACACAUGCAAGUCGAGCGGAUGAAGGGAGCUUGCUCCUGGAUUCAGCGGCGGACGGGUGAGUAAUGCCUAGGAAUCUGCCUGGGAGUGGGGGAUAACGUCCGGAAACGGGCGCUAAUACCGCAUACGUCCUGAGGGAGAAAGUGGGGGAUCUUCGGACCUCACGCUAUCAGAUGAGCCUAGGUCGGAUUAGCUAGUUGGUGGGGUAAAGGCCUACCAAGGCGACGAUCCGUAACUGGUCUGAGAGGAUGAUCAGUCACACUGGAACUGAGACACGGUCCAGACUCCUACGGGAGGCAGCAGUGGGGAAUAUUGGACAAUGGGCGAAAGCCUGAUCCAGCCAUGCCGCGUGUGUGAAGAAGGUCUUCGGAUUGUAAAGCACUUUAAGUUGGGAGGAAGGGCAGUAAGUUAAUACCUUGCUGUUUUGACGUUACCAGCAGAAUAAGCACCGGCUAACUACGUG